UUGAAAACAAUUCAUAAAGCCCAGUCAUGCAUUCAUAAUGGCAUCAUCAACCAUUAUAUACAUAUAUAGAAUAACAAAUGAACCUUAAUGUUUCACAUCAAAUAUCCAUAUACACAUAAUUAGACCUCGACCAUCAGCGGAGUGACUUUGGGCAUGAUUGAUAACACUUAGUGGCAUGUUAAACCUACUGAGCAAUGUAUAGGGAAGAACACCUCGUCCUAAGAUCCAAUCACCUUUAACUUAGAAAACCUAAAACAUGAAUUUAAAAAAAAGGUGAGUUCAAACUCAAUGAGUGAACAUAGGAGGGGAACAAGCAACGUUAAGGGAAGUUUAGAAAUCAUGAUACACAUCUUUGAAAACAAUGCAAUUUAGUUUAGCUCUUAUCAAAACCCCUCAUGUAAAACCCAAAUGAGUAAAUCACUUGAUAAAAAGGGUCCAUGCUCAACAAAAGAUUUGAAGAGUGAAAACUUUAAUAGCAUUCAUGCAAUUCAAGUCAAGUAAACGACGAGUCCUCGCUGCAAUAGAAAGGCAUUCUCGCUGCAGUGAGAUUCCGACCAGCAUAACCCCUCCAAAUCUGAGAGUUUCUCACUGUAGCGAAAAUGAAUCUCACUGCAGCGAAAAACAAAGCACCAUGAAAAAGUUUCCUUUCUUUCAAGAAAAAGUCAUCCUGCCAAAAUGACAAAAAAAUCAACAUGAAAUGCAUAAUAAUUCCCAAAGUUCAACAUGCAAGAUUCACAUGUGCAACACCAUAUACCAUACUCAUGAACUUUCUGUAACACACAUAUCUAUAUAUGUAUAUAUAUAUAUAUAUCCAUCACCAUACACACCCUCCCAUCAUCAUCAGCUCAUAUGCAUUCCCACUAGCACAUGGUUGGGUCAGCAUCAGCUUAUGCGUACUCUUACUCUCACAUAGUCGCGUCAGCAUCGGUUUAUGUCCACUCCCCUUCACACAUAGCUGGGUCAGCAUCGACUUAUGCACACUCCUACUCGUACAUAGCCGGGUCAAUAUCAUUACACAACAUAGUAUAUGAGCACAUAAGUCUGUCCUAUUACACAUUUCACAUUUUCACAACAUCAAAAUAUUUUAUCAAAGGCUUGUUCCCAAGGCACACAUUUUUAAAGACAAGUUGGAAUAAAUCAUUCAAUGUUUCAUACCAAUACAAUUAUGUCUCCGAAAACGAUUUUGAAAUGCAAGUUCACUCACCUUACAAUAGCGGGAUAUUACAUCGCUAUUUGAUCGGAGGUGUCUCUGAUUAUUUU
rnacentral:lncRNA from 1 species